CCUUUUUGGAAGGAGUACACCCAUUUCCGCGUACGAACACCAAGAAAACCCGGCCGCUCGUAAAAUCGCCGGAGUAAAUAAACCCCUUUUCGAGCCGACGGCGAAGCUCCGCAUCGGACGGGCACAUCCUGUCACCCCAGUGGGAACUAGCCCCGGCGUGAACCCUACGGAAGUCCCAGUAUCAUCGUGCCAAGCGCAAAGCGACCCGGAGAUCCAGCUCUACCUCGGCCGAAAUCGACCCUCGUCCUUGGGGCGCCACGGAAGCCGAAGUUGCAGCCCUUCCGCGGCCGAAUCCGAACCCCCCCCCCCUUGUGAGGCACCAAGCAACCUGGGGAAUCAGGCACUCCCCUGCCGACGCCGGAAUGGGCCAGACCAUCGCUUCCCAUCAUCUCGCCGGCGGAUCCCCGCCAAACAUCCAAGGUAUGAGCUCACAUUUGUAAACGGCCGCAACGAUUCUUACUAACCCGAACUAACUACUAAUUCUAAGAAUGAAAAAAGAAAAUUAAAUGAAAUUAAGUAAAAU